GACGAACGCUGGCGGCGUGCUUAACACAUGCAAGUCGAACGGAAAGGCCCUGCUUGCAGGGUACUCGAGUGGCGAACGGGUGAGUAACACGUGGGUGAUCUGCCCUGCACUUCGGGAUAAGCUUGGGAAACUGGGUCUAAUACCGGAUAGGAGCCAUCUUUAGUGUGGUGGUUGGAAAGUUUUUUCGGUGUAGGAUGAGCUCGCGGCCUAUCAGCUUGUUGGUGGGGUAAUGGCCUACCAAGGCGGCGACGGGUAGCCGGCCUGAGAGGGUGUACGGCCACAUUGGGACUGAGAUGCGGCCCAGACUCCUACGGGAGGCAGCAGUGGGGAAUAUUGCACAAUGGGCGCAAGCCUGAUGCAGCGACGCCGCGUGGGGGAUGAAGGCCUUCGGGUUGUAAACUCCUUUCGCUAGGGACGAAGCUUUUUGUGACGGUACCUAGAUAAGAAGCACCGGCUAACUACGUG
rnacentral:rRNA from 1 species